rnacentral:rRNA from 1 species
AACGAACGCUGGCAGCAGGCUUAACACAUGCAAGUCGAGCGCGUAGCAAUACGAGCGGCAGACGGGUGAGUAACACGUGGGAAUCUACCCAUCCCUGCGGAACAACUCCGGGAAACUGGAGCUAAUACCGCAUACGCCCUUUGGGGGAAAGAUUUAUCGGGGAUGGAUGAGCCCGCGUUGGAUUAGCUAGUUGGUGGGGUAAAGGCCUACCAAGGCGACGAUCCAUAGCUGGUCUGAGAGGAUGAUCAGCCACAUUGGGACUGAGACACGGCCCGAACUCCUACGGGAGGCAGCGGUGGGGAAUAUUGGACAAUGGGCGCAAGCAUGAUCCAGCCAUGCCGCGUGAGUGAUGAAGGCCUUAGAGUUGUAAAGCUCUUUCACCGAUGAAGAUAAUGACGGUAGUCGGAGAAGAAGCCCCGGCUAACUUCGUGCCAGCCGCCGCGGUAACAC